GAAAAAGGGGUGAAAAGAACAAAGUUUUGUCCAUCUUUGUUCAUCAUAGCUGAAAGUUAGAGAAGAGAAAGGAGAAGAGAAAGCUCUUGAGUGUUCGGUCACUUGGGGAAGAAAAUUGAAGGUAAUCCCCAACCAUAGUGGGCUUGGAGCUGUGAGGGAAUUCGGAGUGGCCACCUAUUCUGAAAGUUUGAUUUUCUUCUGGUGAACUGGACAUCCUUUUAUUUACGUUUGAAGUUUUGGGUUUUUAAAUGUAAUAAGGCCGCUUAUUUAUUUUUGAUGGUUUUUUUUA